UACGAAGGGGGCUAGCGUUGCUCGGAAUCAUUGGGCGUAAAGCGCACGUAGGCGGCCUGAUAAGUCGGGUGUGAAAGCCCUGGGCUCAACCCAGGAAGUGCACUCGAAACUGCCAGGCUUGAAUAUGGAAGAGGGUCGCGGAAUUCCCGGUCGUAGAGGUGAAAUUCGUAGAUAUCGGGAGGAACACCAGUGGCGAAGGCGGCGACCUGGGCCAAUAUUGACGCUGAGGUGCGAAAGCGUGGGGAGCAAACAGG
rnacentral:rRNA from 1 species